rnacentral:rRNA from 1 species
CCUUAACCUACUAAAUAGCGCGACUAGCUUUUGCUGGUGCUGACGCUUCUUAGAGGGACUAUCGAUUUCAAGUCGAUGGAAGUUUGAGGCAAUAACAGGUCUGUGAUGCCCUUAGACGUUCUGGGCCGCACGCGCGCUACACUGACGGAGCCAGCGAGUCUAGCCUUGGCCGAGAGGUCAUGGGUAAUCUUGUGAAACUCCGUCGUGCUGGGGAUAGAGCAUUGCAAUUAUUGCUCUUCAACGAGGAAUUCCUAGUAAGCGCAAGUCAUCAGCUUGCGUUGAUUACGUCCCUGCCCUUUGUACACACCGCCCGUCGCUACUACCGAUUGAAUGGCUUAGUGAGGCUUCAGGAUUGGCUUAUGGCGGGAGGCGACUCCUGCCUGGAGCCGAGAAUCUAGUCAAACUUGGUCAUUUAGAGGAAGUAAAAGUCG